GUAAACAAAGCCAAAAAAAAAGAGGCAAUCCUUUGUUAAAGGUAGAAAUGAACUAUUCUGUUUUCA
rnacentral:tRNA from 1 species